UACAGAGGUGGCAAGCGUUGUUCGGAAUCACUGGGCGUAAAGCGCACGUAGGCGGAUCGUUAAGUCAGGGGUGAAAUCCUGGAGCUCAACUCCAGAACUGCCUUUGAUACUGGCGACCUUGAGUUCGGGAGAGGUGAGUGGAACUGCGAGUGUAGAGGUGGAAUGCGUAGAGAUCCGGAAGAACACCGGUGGCGAAGGCGGCCUGCUGGGCAGUAGCUGACACUGAGGCGCGACAGCGUGGGGAGCAAACAGG
rnacentral:rRNA from 1 species